rnacentral:Y_RNA from 1 species
GGCUGGUCCGAAGGUAAGUGAGUUAUCUCACUUGAUUGUUCACAGUCAGUUACAGAUUGAACUCCUUGUUCUACUACUUUCCCCCCUCCUCACUACUGCACUUGACUAGUCUUAA